AUUGAACGCUGGCGGCAGGCCUUACACAUGCAAGUCGAACGAGUGGCGGACGGGUGAGUAAUAUAUGGGAAACUGCCCGAUGGCGGGGGAUAACUACUGGAAACGGUAGCUAAUCCCGCAUACCAUCGGAUCGGCCCAGAUCGGAUUAGCUAGUUGGUGGGGUAAAGGCUCACCAAGGCGACGAUCCCUAGCUGGUCUGAGAGGAUGACCAGCCACACUGGGACUGAGCCAAGGUCCAGACUCCUACGGGAGGCAGCAGUGGGGAAUUUUGCACAAUGGGGGAAAGCCUGAUGCAGCCAUGCCGCGUGUAUGAUGAAGGCCUUCGGGUUGUAAAGUACUUUCAGCGAGGAAGCGUUACCCGCAGAAGAAGCACCGGCUAACUCCGUGCCAGCAGCCGCGGUAAUAC
rnacentral:rRNA from 1 species